rfam:Yersinia frederiksenii ATCC 33641 contig00175, whole genome shotgun sequence.
GCUUUACAGAAUUAGUUUUAAAUAUAAUAGAGCUAAUAUCUUAGCGCACUAAUGCUAAGAAAGUUAGACUGCAAAGAAUAUAUUUUCGCCAACACCAGGGGACUUUUGUCCACCAACACCAGGUUUUACCCUGCCAUCUGGAUGGCUUUACAUUCAGAUGGCGACUA